GGUAUCGGUAGGACAGGGACGUUCAUUGCUCUGGACGUUCUGUCUAGGUACGGAGAGGAACAUGACAAAAUCAACGUCAUCGAGUUCGUUAAGGCCAUGCGUAAAGACAGGAUGACGAUAAUUCAAAACUCUGAUCAGUACGUAUUCCUUUAUCACGCCCUGUAUGAGUACUUCGGAAGAAAGGCGAAUUUUAUAAGCAGAACAGAGUUUAUUGAUUUGUAUGGCGAAAUGGAAAAAAAUAAAAAACAAGAAAACGACUUGGGAAUGAAUUCAAUGUUGUAACAAAUUUAAAGCCACGUUACAUCGCCGAUGAUUUCAAAACAAGACGGCAGCACAUGAAGCUCAGUUUUACUCAAUCUGUUUUACCAGUUGAAAGAUAUCUUGUGUAUUUAACAUCAACUGUGAAGGGACGAGAUCAAUAUUACAAUGCAGUAAAUAUUUCGUCGUUUACCAGAGCUGAGGAGUUCAUUUCUGCGCAAUUUCCGGUAUCAGGAGCCGCCAUUGAUCUUGCUCGUUUGCUGGUUGAUCAGGAGUCUCCAUUCUUGAUCUCGCUGAAUCCUUUAUCUGAA